rnacentral:miRNA from 1 species
UGGUGAUAAUAUCAAUGAUGAUGAUAAUGAUAAUGAGAAUGAUGAUGCCACUUAUGAUCAUGAUCAUCAUGAUCAUCAUGAUCAUUAAACAGA